UACGGGGGGGGCAAGCGUUGUUCGGAAUUACUGGGCGUAAAGGGCUCGUAGGCGGCCAACUAAGUCAGACGUGAAAUCCCUCGGCUUAACCGGGGAACUGCAUCUGAUACUGGAUGGCUUGAGAUUGGGAGAGGGAUGCGGAAUUCCAGGUGUAGCGGUGAAAUGCGCAGAUAUCAGGAGGAACACCCGUAGCGAAGGCGGCACUCUGGGCCGAUACUGACACUGAGGAGCGAAAGCGUGGGGAGCGAACAGG
rnacentral:rRNA from 1 species